rfam:Dactylellina haptotyla CBS 200.50 unplaced genomic scaffold scaffold00324, whole genome shotgun sequence.
GCUCAAGAAGCUCAAUUUGGUGGAGCGGAACACUGAAGAUGUUUAGGCUGUAAGUUCAAAUCUUAUCUUGAGCA